rnacentral:tRNA from 1 species
UGUAGUAUAACUCAAUUGGUAGAGUGUUUAGCUUUUAACUAAAAAGUUGUUGGUUCGAUUCCAAUUGCUACAC